rnacentral:rRNA from 1 species
UACGUAGGAUGCAAGCGUUGUCCGGAAUUACUGGGCGUAAAGCGUGCGUAGACGGUUGCGUAAGUCAGAUGUGAAAGCCCCGGGCUCAACCUGGGAAUUGCAUUUGAGACUGCGUAGCUAGGGUGCGGAAGAGGGAAGCGGAAUUUCCGGUGUAGCGGUGAAAUGCGUAGAUAUCGGAAGGAACACCAGUGGCGAAAGCGGCUUCCUGGUCAAGCACCGACGUUCAGGCACGAAAGCGUGGGGAGCAAACAGG